CACUGCAACCGAAUGAAAGCAGACCACUAUUUAGUGACAUUUGGACGUUUCCCUGAGGAUUAACUGCUGUGUAAUCUACCAAGAACUAAAUCAAAAUGAGUGCAAGUGGAGACGGACCACAAAAUAACCAAAACGGCCAACAGGUUAACCCACGAAUGUUGGCAAAUGGAGAUCAGGAACCUGCUAAUGGCUUCCUGAACAGACUGUAUCGCGCUCUCCAUGAAUAUUGUUGCUAUCUAGAUGAGCUAAUAGCUUCAGUACUGGCACAAUAUGACAAUUACCUUUACGGGGACGAAGACGAUGACGACGACGACGAUGACGACGACGACGACGACGACGACGACGAU